rnacentral:rRNA from 1 species
CCAGAUCAGAAGCGAGAAUGUUGACAUGAGUAGCGACAAACAGGGUGAGAAACCCUGUCGCCGAAAGUCCAAGGGUUCCUGCUUAAAGCUAAUCUGAGCAGGGUAAGCCGGCCCCUAAGGCGAGGCCGAAAGGCGUAGUCGAAGGGAACCAGGUUAAUAUUCCUGGGCCAGUGGGAUGUGACGGAUCGCAGAUGUAGUUUGCCCUUAUCGGAUUGGGUGGGCUGCUGAGCGGUUCCAGGAAAUAGCCCCACAUCAGACCGUACCCUAAACCGACACAGGUGGACUGGUAGAGUAUACCAAGGCGCUUGAGAGAACCACGUUAAAGGAACUCGGCAAAAUGCCUCCGUAAGUUCGCGAGAAGGAGGCCCCAUAUGUACGCAAGUAUGUGUGGGGGGCACAAACUAGGGGGUGGCGACUGUUUACUUAAAACACAGGGCUGUGCGAAGCCGUAAGGCGACGUAUACAGUCUGACGCCUGCCCGGUGCUGGAAGAUUAAGAGGAGGGGUGCAAGCUCUGAAUUGAAGUCCCAGUAAACUGCGGCCGUAACAAUAACGGUCCUAAGGUAGCGAAAUUCCUUGUCGGGUAAGUUCCGACCUGCACGAAUGGCGUAACGAUCUCCCCGCUGUCUCUAACGUGGACUCAGCGAAAUUGAACUGUGUGUCAAGAUGCACACUACCCGCGGUUAGACGGAAAGACCCCAUGAACCUUUACUCCAGCUUUGCACUGGUAUCAGGAUUGUGAUGUGCAGGAUAGGUGGUAGGCAUUGAAGCGGGGACGCCAGUCUUCGUGGAGCCUCCCUUGAGAUACCACCCUUCGCCAUCUUGAUAUCUAACCGCGGCCCGUUAUCCGGGUCCGGGACCCUGCAUGGUGGGGAGUUUGACUGGGGCGGUCGCCUCCCAAACAGUAACGGAGGCGCGCGAUGGUUGGCUCAGACCGGUCGGAAAUCGGUCGUUGAGUGCAAUGGCAGAAGCCAGCCUGACUGCAAGACUGACAAGUCGAGCAGAGACGAAAGUCGGUCAUAGUGAUCCGGUGGUCCCAAGUGGGAGGGCCAUCGCUCAACGGAUAAAAGGUACUCUGGGGAUAACAGGCUGAUGAUGCCCAAGAGUCCAUAUCGACGGCAUCGUUUGGCACCUCGAUGUCGGCUCAUCUCAUCCUGGGGCUGGAGCAGGUCCCAAGGGUAUGGCUGUUCGCCAUUUAAAGAGGUACGUGAGCUGGGUUUAGAACGUCGUGAGACAGUUCGGUCCCUAUCUGCCGUGGGUGCAGGAGACUUGAGAAGAGUUGACCCUAGUACGAGAGGACCGGGUUGAACGAACCACUGGUGGACCAGUUAUCGUGCCAACGGUAGUGCUGGGUAGCUAUGUUCGGACAGGAUAACCGCUGAAGGCAUCUAAGCGGGAAGCCCCCUUCAAAACAAGGUCCCCCUUGAGGGCCGUGGAAGACGACCACGUCGAUAGGCCAGAGGUGUAAGUGCAGCAAUGCAUUCAGCUGACUGGUACUAAUUGCCC